rnacentral:sRNA from 1 species
AGAUCAGAUUCGCUGAGUCCGUAACAUGGGAGCGGGGAAACCAACCGUGGCUGUAAACUUAAAGCCACAUGGGGUGAAUCUCGAACAUUUCGAGUAGGGUGACUCUUACAUCCGAAUCCGUCAGCUAACUCCGUAAGCGUUUCAAGAGAGGUAAC